rnacentral:misc_RNA from 1 species
GAUGAAGAACGUAGCGAAAUGCGAUAACUAAUGUGAAUUGCAGAAUUCAGUGAAUCAUCGAGUCUUUGAACGCACAUUGCGCCCCCUGGUAUUCCGGGGGGCAUGCCUGUCCGAGCGUCAUUGCUGCCCUCAAGCACGGCUUGUGUGUUGGGCUCCGUCCCCCCGGGGACGGGCCCGAAAGGCAGCGGCGGCUCCGAGUCCGGUCCUCGAGCGUAUGGGGCUUUGUCACCCGCUCUGUAGGCCCGGCCGGCGCCAGCCGACAACCCAUCAUCCUUUUCAGGUUGACCUCGGAUCAGGUAGGGAUACCCGCUGAACUUAAGCAUAUCAAUAAGCGGAGGA